UAAGCAUUUUAAACAAAGGGCUCAUGGAAAUAGUUACCAAAAGGAGAUAAUGCAUUCGAGUGGACUGCAGAAAUAUAAGCGGAAAACAUGAAGCUGUAUAUCUGGAGACAUCCCUAGGCAUCUCUGUGUGUGCCAAGGAAUCAAAGGAAACACUGGCUCCAAGGGUGAAGAUGUCCCUAAGGCAGACAACCUUCAUACAUAUGGAAUAAUCUGAUCACCAUCCUGGCAUAGGGAAGUCACCUUUCAGCCACAGCCACGGAUCUGAUUAGAGGGGAAUUGAAGUCUUUUUCCUUGUCCAUGUCCCAGCUUAUGUUUCCCAACCUGUGGCCCAUCUCACAGCACCUCUGCAGCUGGGCAUGACCAAAGGCUCCAGGUGAGUAUGGAGCCAUAUCCAUUCAUUUUGGAGACAUAACCGUGUUGGGACCUACAUUUUCCCUAUUUCUGUGACUUUAGAGAGCUCCUACAGCUGAGGGAAGCACCUGGAUUCUCCCCUUCGUUAAUGGUUAAUGGAAUUAAAUCCCAGAUGAGGUGAUAAAUCCUGCUUCCUCUUUCAACCUACACAGCCUCUUCUCUCCCCCUUCUCCCCUUUCCCAGUAGCUAGUAAUCAGAGAAGACGGUUAAUUGGGGAUUUACAUUUCUCCACUGCCCCACUUCCCCUGCCCCUCCCACACAUCACCUUGCACCUGCAUUUGAGAUUUCUCCAGAUUUGAACAAAAGGAAGGGUCUUCACUGAGAACAAUGAGGGUGCUGCGCAUAUAAAUAACGGCAGGUCAGGUUGUGGUGUUUCUGUGGCUGGUUUUGUGCUUUUUCUGGCUGUAGGCUUAGUUUGCCUGGCUUUCUGAGUGAAUAGGAUUGGAUAGGAAGGAGAAUCCCACCUUUUUGUUCGGAAAAGCUGAGAGAAUCUUCUAUGUGACAAAUCUGUCUAAUUUCCUUCUGUGACUGGGGAACAGCCUUUGUUGAGAGAAGGUAGACAGAGAUAGACAGACAAGGGUAUGACUUGGUUCCAAAUACAGAUGUCUAAAUUUAGGUUUCUGCCAUGUAGAUGACCUUGUGUGAGCAAAGUUUCUACAUUAGCAUGAGAUGAAUUGCCUUCCAGCCACUGCUGAUUAUACAGUGGAGUCGUAGUCAGUAACAUGAGCUUAAAAUACCUGAAUUUGGGGCUGAUUCCCCCCUUUUUGGCAUUUUAAAAUAAAUAAUGGUUUUGAAUUCAGUUUUCAAUAAUACAAUUUUCUUCAUUUUUAAAGAUAACAUUCUGUUUUAGGGUUACAGAGACAGAGCAUUGAUUUUUGGUGACAGAUUCAUUUCAUGUUUGCAUAAUAAUUUCUUGGAUUACAUUUCUGUAAGUAAGCUAGUGAAAUAUUUUGAUCUUGAUAAAACUACUACAGCAGGCAGGAUUGAAAACUGGCUUGGACAGCCAAUCCUUGAGAGCAGUUUUCAGUGUUUUGCACAGGUAGUGUCAUUGAAUUUCUUUGAGGUAACUUCUGGGGAAAUUAUGAUUUCUAGCAACCACUCCUGAAUUAUGUCUAUGUAUGUAUUGUCAGCAUGACUUUACAGUUUCACAUCUGAAAUAGGUUCAUUUUUAUUUGUCUGGUGUAUACAUCCCGAGAGUAACCUGCAGACUAAAGAGGCUUCAAGCAACAAUUGGUCCCUUGAAAGCACACAAAUUAAAUAAAUGUUUAUAAACCCCAAAUGAUGUCACUGUAGCAGGUAAAUGACAGCAGAACAAUGGGCAUGGCUACACUCCUUUAAGCUGCAGCAAUGUUCCCUAGCAACUACCGAGGAGCUGAGCAGCCUUCGGAGGUAUCAUGAGUGCCAACAGGCCAUUAUCUGACAAAUGAUUGAGAAAUGAUCUUAAUCCCGUAUUUCACAGAGGAGAUAUUGUAAAUCAAUUGCCUGUUUGUAAUUUACAGAUACCACUUUCUCCCUUUGGGUAAGCUAUUAGGUAAGAAUUCCUCUGGGUAAUAAUUAUGUUGUUAUUUCAUUUUUUAUUUGUGUUAGUAUUAAUCAUAUACAUUUUAUAAUUUAAGGUAUUUGAGUUCCAGGGGAAUAGCAUUAGGUAGCUGCUAUGCUGUAAGAAAAAGUACACUGAGUUGAAGUUUAACGUUAAUCUAAACUGAUCUAAUGGCUUCUAAAAACUCAACCACCAAUUGUUUCCUUGGCUUGGGACUGCCUUUUGAAGCACAUGGUUAGGCAUGAGGCAAUAUGUAGGAAGAGGAAGAGCAAGGGCUUUAUCUAAGCAGCCCAGCUAUUUAUUAAAUCAGCUAAUCGUGCCAUACCAACCUAAUUAAUAAUUAUUGGUGCAAGGAAUGCCAUUUAAUAGGCUACGUAGAUACCAAAUGCUCCCAAUAGUUGAUGGAAAGCCAUUCUCUGCCCUUCUGUUUUGCCUGACCGCAACAAGGAGCCUCAUCUUCACUGUACUCUCUGCCACUGAGCUACUCUAUAAACCUGAGCAAGUCUCUACUAUUUUGUAACACAAAGUUUUUCGUGCCCUACACUUAAUUACAUUGUAGGGGGUUGUGAAGCGCUCUGUGGACACAUCUGGAAGUAGACAGGCAAAAUAUCCCCAACUUUUAAGAUCCAGCUCCACAAAGAAUUGCCUAAAUCAGCCGUUUCUCUGAAAACCUGUGCCUCAUCAAGACAUUUAGCAGUGAUUUUGGACAGUUACUGAAAUGAGCUUCAGGCCCUGUGUACACAGGUACGUGAAGAUUCAGAUUAAGGCCUCCUCUCCAGCCUAUGGUGAAGCCCUGACACACAGCCUCAGCCUGUACACCUCCAGUCAUCUACGUGAUCCUUCUUCAGCCAUGGCCCCUGCUAAUCCAGCCCAUAGUCUGUUGCAUGAAAUGCUAGCUGCAUGUAAGCAUUCUCCUUAUUUUGUAUUCCAGUUACCUAUUAUUUUGGGGAAGAGUUGUCAGUAUUUUUUUCAUUAUUUGUGUAACUGGGAGAUACUGGAUAAUCAGGCUGGCAGAAUUAAAGAUCCACAGCCUGAAUCAAACUGGGAAAGAAUAAUGUUCCCCACAUGAUUAGUCACAACUUUUAUAUAACCACUAUUGGGAAUUCCACAACUGCUUCUCAGCUUACUGCACUGAAUAUGAACUCUAUCUAAAUGGGCUUUUUCAAAAAGAAAUGCCCCUGGAUAUGUACAUAACUUUACUUCUACCCUGGCAAACACUGCUUUCAGUUAGUUUAGACAAAGGGGCUUUCCAUUGACCUAAUCCAUCCCCUCCCCAGGUAAGCACAUAAAAUAUUUGUUAGAUUUAUCAUAUGCUAGAGACUGGCAUCUGCCUUUAUCCUAAAGCAGGAAUUGUCAUCCUUGCCAUUUGUCAUGUUGUCAUAAAGAAAGAAAUUACCGU